rnacentral:rRNA from 1 species
GAUGAACGCUAGCUACAGGCUUAACACAUGCAAGUCGAGGGGAAACGACAUCGAAAGCUUGCUUUUGAUGGGCGUCGACCGGCGCACGGGUGAGUAACGCGUAUCCAACCUGCCCACCACUUGGGGAUAACCUUGCGAAAGUAAGACUAAUACCCGAUGAUAUCUCUAUAAGACAUCUGAAAGGGAUUAAAGAUUUAUCGGUGAUGGAUGGGGAUGCGUCUGAUUAGCUUGUUGGCGGGGUAACGGCCCACCAAGGCAACGAUCAGUAGGGGUUCUGAGAGGAAGGUCCCCCACAUUGGAACUGAGACACGGUCCAAACUCCUACGGGAGGCAGCAGUGAGGAAUAUUGGUCAAUGGUCGCGAGACUGAACCAGCCAAGUAGCGUGCAGGACGACGGCCCUCUGGGUUGUAAACUGCUUUUAUAAGGGAAUAAAGUGGGUCACGUGUGACUUUUUGCAUGUACCUUAUGAAUAAGGACCGGCUAAUUCCGUG